rnacentral:rRNA from 1 species
UUCCGGGGCGAAGUAGCUGAUUUCACACUGUCAAGAAAAGCUUCUAUCGAGUUUAAAGGCGCCCGUACCGUAAACCGACACAGGUGGGUGAGGAGAGUAUCCUAAGGCCAGCGAGAGAACUAUUGUUAAGGAACUCGGCAAAAUGACCCCGUAACUUAGGGAGAAGGGGUGCCUGUCUAUGACAGGCCGCAGAGAAUAGGCCCAAGCGACUGUUUACCAAAAACACAGGUUUCUGCUAAGUCGCAAGACGAUGUAUAGGAGCUGACGCCUGCCCGGUGCUGGAAGGUUAAGGGGAUCUGUUAGAGCAAUCGAAGCAGUGAACUUAAGCCCCAGUAAACGGCGGCCGUAACAAUAACGGUCCUAAGGUAGCGAAAUUCCUUGUCGGGUAAGUUCCGACCCGCACGAAAGGCGUAACGAUUUGGGCACUGUCUCAACAAUAGACUCGGUGAAAUUGUAAUCCCGGUGAAGAUGCCGGGUACCUGCGACAGGACGGAAAGACCCCAUGGAGCUUUACUGUAGCUUGACGUUGGGUCUUGGUACUACAUGUACAGGAUAGGUGGGAGACUAUGAAGCAUGGACGCCAGUCUGUGUGGAGUCAUCCUUGGGAUACCACCCUUGUAGUACUGGGAUCCUAACCAUAGGCCUUGAAUCAGGUCUUGGAACACCGUCAGGUGGGCAGUUCGACUGGGGCGGUCGCCUCCUAAAAAGUAACGGAGGCGCUCAAAGGUUUCCUCAGCACGGUCGGAAAUCGUGCGGAGAGUGUAAAGGCAAAAGGAAGCUUGAUUGCAAGACAUACAGGUCGAGCAAGGACGAAAGUCGGACUUAGUGAUCCGGUGGUACCGCAUGGAAGGGCCAUCGCUCAACGGAUAAAAGCUACCCUGGGGAUAACAGGCUUAUCUCCCCCAAGAGUCCACAUCGACGGGGAGGUUUGGCACCUCGAUGUCGGCUCAUCACAUCCUGGGGCUGUAGUAGGUCCCAAGGGUUGGGCUGUUCGCCCACUAAAGUGGUACGCGAGCUGGGUUCAGAACGUCGUGAGACAGUUCGGUCCCUAUCCGUCGCAGGCGUAGGAAAUUUGAGAAGACCUGUCCUUAGUACGAGAGGACCGGGAUGGACGUACCUCUGGUGUACCAGUUGUUCUGCCAAGGGCAUGGCUGGGUAGCUAUGUACGGAAUGGAUAAGCGCUGAAAGCAUCUAAGCGCGAAGCCAACCUCAAGAUAAGAUUUCCCACCGUAAGGGUAAGACCCCAGGAAGACUACCUGGUUGAUAGGUCGAAGGUGUAAGUGCAGUAAUGUAUUUAGCUUAUCGAUACUAAUAGGUCGAGGACUUGACC